CAGCCGCCGCGGUAAUACGGAGGGUGCAAGCGUUAAUCGGAAUUACUGGGCGUAAAGCGCACGCAGGCGGUUUGUUAAGUCAGAUGUGAAAUCCCCGGGCUCAACCUGGGAACUGCAUCUGAUACUGGCAAGCUUGAGUCUCGUAGAGGGGGGUAGAAUUCCAGGUGUAGCGGUGAAAUGCGUAGAGAUCUGGAGGAAUACCGGUGGCGAAGGCGGCCCCCUGGACGAAGACUGACGCUCAGGUGCGAAAGCGUGGGGAGCAAACAGGAUUAGAUACCCUGGUAGUCCACGCCGUAAACGAUGAGUGCUAAGUGUUAGGGGGUUUCCGCCCCUUAGUCUCAGCUACGCAUAAGCACUCCGCCUGGGAGUCGACCGCAAGGUUAAACUAAG
rnacentral:rRNA from 1 species